GACAGAGGUGCCAAGCGUUAGGCGGAAUCACUGGGCUUAAAGCGUGUGUAGGCGGACUGGUAAGUACCUUGUGAAAUCCCACGGCUCAACCGUGGAACUGCUCGGUAUACUGCUCGUCUUGAGCCACUUAGGGGCUGUCGGAACAAACGGUGGAGCGGUGAAAUGCGUAGAUAUCAGGAGGAACACCAAUGGCGAAGGCAGCUCGCUGGGACGUGACUGACGCUGAGACGCGAAAGCGUGGGGAGCAAACAGG
rnacentral:rRNA from 1 species